AAACAAAUGCUAUAGAUUCCCUACUAAUAUUAUAAAUGCGAAAGUAACUCUGUCUGUCUGUAAUUACGCUUUCACGCCUAAACCAGUGAACCGAUUUUGAUGAAAUUUGGUACUGAGAUAGAAUAGACCUUACUUGAUACUUUUUAUUGCAAAAAAAUUGCGGAGAAUGGGUAAAAAGAGGGGAUGACUGUUCAUAUGUAAAUUCGUCAUUUUAAAAGCUGUAACAGUGAAACUUUGUAUUUAGACACUUAAAGAUAAACGAAAGAACAUGGUCUACUUUUUAUUGCAAAAAAUACGGGAGAGUGGGUAAAAAUAGGGGAUGAAUGGUCAUAUGGAAAUUCGUCAUUUUUAAAGCUGUAACAGUGAAAUUUUGUAUUUAGACACUUAAUGAGGAGCGAAAGAACAUAGGCUUUUUAAUAAAAAGAGUAAAAGGCGUAGUAUGUUUGAUAGAGGAGAUUAAUGUUUGCUUGAAAAUUCGUCAUUUUCGUUAAUGCGUUGCCUGUGGCUUCACUCGCGUUCGAUUCUUAUUUAAAUACACAUAUACUUAUUUAAAUCGCCAAUAUCCCUACUACCAUACUAAUGUUAUGAAUGCGAAAGUAAUCCUGUUUGUGUUGAGGUUACGCUUGCACGAAUGUUUUUUUUUUUGGAAUAUAACAACGAAACAAUGUAUUUUUUUAUUGAUAGGCAAUAUAUAGGAAAUUAAAGGAUAAUAAUAUAGAUAACCUUGGCUACUUUUCAUCAUGAUUAUAAAAUGAUGAAUCGGCGGUCGUGGUUUCUUUGGAAUACAUAUCUUUAAAAAUGCUAACAGUAACAUAUUCUCAAGUAAUUCACAUUUUAGAUGACAUACGGCAGCAUUUUGACCACUAACACCACUACGCGGACGAAGUCGCGGGCAAAAGCUAGAUUCGAUAAAUUUUCAUUUGUACAUGUCAAAUAUUUGUUGUUUCUAAAUUCAAAUUCUGUAAAUAAUGAUUGACAUUUAUGCAUAAACUAUGAAAAGGGUGAAUAAACAAUUGUCUGUAUUUUUUUUAAUCUAUUGAAAAUGUUGAAAAGUGCAUUAAGCAUUAAUAGAAAUUCCUCAAAUAUUAAUUAUGCGUGCGUUCAGAAAUAAUGACAAAUUAUUAACAGUUACGCGUGUGUUCAGAAAUUUAUUUUGUGUAAAUUAAAGUUUCUAUUCACGUUUUCGAACAAACGAUGCUCUUUCAAUAUAGUCUAUUGGUGUGAAUGACAUUGACAUUCGUAUUGCGCGUUUUUUAAAAUAUGCAAAAUUAAAUGUAUUAUUUUCAAUAUUUCUGAGAGAUUAUCUUAAUAUUUCUUCGAGUUUUAAAGACUAAGAAGAUUUUUAUUUGCUAAUAAGUGUUUGUUAAUCAAGUUGGAAUUUCGUUUUUAACAAUGCUACCAACCAGACGUACAAGCUUAGGCCGCAGAACUCGAAAUACGGCAAGUCAAAGAAAUAUAAGAGUAAAUCAAACUGAUGAGCAUCGCGAAGCGCGAAAUGAACUUAAACUGAAUCAAUAUCAAGAUAGAAAUGUUGUGUUUAAUCCAUCAAGAUAGAAAUGUUGUGUUUAAUCCCCACAAAGCUGCAUUCAGUUAUAAUGUGGCAAUUGAUUACAGUUCAGAGCAAAUUGUUGCUAUUGGACUAAUGAACAUUGUGUGUCCACAUUGGGAUUGAAAUUAAAAAAUUAAGCCUCUGGAUUGUGUUGAGCCAGCGGCCAAGUCAAAUUGACGCCAUUGGUACCGCCACCAGAGCCACUACAUUCAUUGGUUCAUUUUGGACUCAUAUCCAGUAGUACAAUAAUUGCUUUCAAAUGACAUCAUUUGGGGCAACAAAAGUUAUACGAGUCAAUUUUUUGCCUACUUUUAGGAAGUAAGUAUAAUGACAAACGUUUUUUUUUAGUUUUAAAACCAUGUAGCUGGUGCAAAAUAUGUCGCGUCAGUGAUGUGUUUAUUUUAUAAACAAUAAAUCAAAUUACUAAUAAUAGUCUAUAAUCCGAAGACUUAAUCAGCAACAUUUAUAACAUGUUGUAUUUUAUAGUGGCAUGAACAAGAUGUUCGUAGUAAAGCCUACUACCUAAAGCUGCCGUGGAAGGCUGUUUAAUGUCGAGGUUAAAAGUAGUUUUAAUUUGAAAUGAUGUAAAGUAUUGUGGCAGUAUUUUACGAGCCACAUGGUGGUACAAUUUACUAUACAAUUGCCUGUAUACAUAUUUAUAUUCUUGCAGAUUCAGGGAUUUAAAUAUAUCAUCAAACAGGUUCCUUAUUGCCAGUGCCUGUUGAAGACUAUACAUUUUUGCAAAUAUAUUUUAUGGUACAACUCAUAAAGAGAUCCAUUGUGAUGAACAACUUCAAACAUUUUUCCUUUAACACAAUGAAUUAGUUGCAUUAGACCGAUGCAUUAGACAUUCACAAAUGCAUUAGACCGCAUGCCAUCAGAUAAUCACAAAAUUGUCAUCAGAGCCGAUAAGGCGCCUGCAGGACAGUGAAAUGAUUGAAUCCUAUGAAAUAAACACUAUUAUGAAAAUAUAUUUUGUUUUUUUUUUUAAUUAGUAAAGUCCUUUUCAGGUAUAGUGAGAUCAGGAAAUUAUGGAUUCAUUUUUAUAUGGAGGAUAUUUAUAGAUUCCAAUUCAAAUUGAAUAGGGACUCAUACAUAACUCAGCUAUACAAAAUAAAGUAGAGCAUCAUUGCUACGCGAAAGCGGUACGAAGUUCGCUGGGUCAGCUAGUCUCACAAUAAAU